GUUGGAGAACCAGCUGAAGGAUCAUUU
rnacentral:rRNA from 1 species